GAUGGUAGUGUGGCAUUCGCCAUGUGAGAGUAGGUCAUCGCCAGAC
rnacentral:rRNA from 1 species